rnacentral:rRNA from 1 species
GUUCAUGGCUCAGGAUGAACGCUAGCUACAGGCUUAACACAUGCAAGUCGAGGGGCAGCAUGAACUUAGCUUGCUAAGUUUGAUGGCGACCGGCGCACGGGUGAGUAACACGUAUCCAACCUGCCGAUGACUCGGGGAUAGCCUUUCGAAAGAAAGAUUAAUACCCGAUGGCAUAGUUCUUCCGCAUGGUGGAACUAUUAAAGAAUUUCGGUCAUCGAUGGGGAUGCGUUCCAUUAGG